GAUUAUGCAUGAUUUGUCAACCUGAUGAGCUACUUUAAGGUGUAUUCAUACAAACUGAUUUAGGUUAAUACUUUCUCAUAAUAUUGGUGAUUCGGCAUUACCUAUGCUUUCCAGAUAUGGUUCGCAUGAUUUCUAGGUUUCAUUAGAUUUGUUGAUUCAGUUAUAGGUUUGUUGCUUGGGAAAAUGCAACAGGAUAAUACUGUGUAAGACUGUUAUCCUUUUGAUGAAAACACAUGGAAAGGAUGAAAGUACUGAUAAUGUAUAGAUUCUUCAUAUCUGUAUGUUGAAUUCUUCAGCACGGUGGUUGUAAUAAUUCAAAUAAAGUUUUUGUGCUACACGAUCGUUCCCUUGUGGCAACGUUAUUCUUCUAAUCUGUUGUGGAUUUCAGACGACCAGGACGCCCACAGCGCUGGCCUCUGUGCCACCUGCCGCCGUUGUCGUCAGCGCGGUCCAAGGCAAGGCUCCGUUAGUGGAGGAUGAUGUCCCGGCAGUGGGGGCACUGGUGUGGCUGCACUGCCCAAACGGGUCAUGUGGGCAGCUGCCCCGCGCCGCCCAAGUCAUCCAAGGCCGCCAUCCUACUCCUCGACCGUGGCGAUGAACCAACUUUCGUGAUCCGCUUGAUACAAACAAGGUUAGCGGACUGAGUGUAUUAUGUUUUAGUGGUCAUGUGGUAGGUUUAUAUGUACUAUUUGAGGCAACAAUUCUCAUGGGCCUCUACAUAAUAAGAAUUAACGAUUUGAAUUAACUUACCUUUACAAGAGGAGCUGGUGGUUAUAUCAUAGGUUUAUGGGGUCAAAUUCUUGAGAUUAUGUCCACUCUCAUGUUUACUGAUAAACGGGGCACUACUCUUUAGUUAUCUGGUUCUAGGAUUUAUUCAGGUUUAUGUGGUGAACUUCCUGAAAUUAUGUCAACUUCCCUUUUUAGUGAUGAACA